GUCACGUGGUACGAGAUAAAGAGAUAAAUUGCUCAGCGACCUCAUUAACGUUCUUUCUUCCUUGUUGCGGUGAACGCGUGCGGUCGGGUGAGGACGACAGAAACACGAAGGCCUGCUGAAACCACAAACAUAUUUGAGCUCGAAGUGACUGCACCAAACAUCUUUUUCUAUCAAGGUUAUCCCCAUUACAAUGACUACAUCUUAACUUUAUUAAAGGUACUGUGACUACUCGACAACCUGGUAUUGUUUGGUAAAGAGAUAAAAACAUAGUAGAGUUGAAUGUAUUUAAUGACUUGUUGGAAAUAAAAAGAAAAUCUCUCUGAAA